UAAGACGAACCGUCCAAACGUUAUUCGGAAUCACUGGGCUUAAAGGGUGCGUAGGCUGCGCUGUUAGUCGGGUGUGAAAUCCCUCAGCUUAACUGAGGAAUUGCGCCCGAUACUGCAGUGCUGGAGGGAGACAGGGGUAAGCGGAACUGAUGGUGGAGCGGUGAAAUGUGUUGAUAUCAUCAGGAACACCGGUGGCGAAAGCGGCUUACUGGGUCUCUUCUGACGCUGAGGCACGAAAGCUAGGGGAGCGAACGGGAUUAGAUACCCCGGUAGUCCUAGCCGUAAACGAUGAGCACUUGAUCGGAGACUCCUCCAUAGGUUUCCGGUCGUAGCGAAAGUGUUAAGUGCUCCGCCUGGGGAGUAUGGUCGCAAGGCUG
rnacentral:rRNA from 1 species